rnacentral:lncRNA from 11 species
UAAUCCAGUUUGCUCUUUGACAGUCUCGGGGAAAAGCUCCUAGGGAAUUGAAAGGAGGACAGCACUUCAACAGGCCCAUUGUUUGCUUCUUCUCUUAGUCAGAGCAGCCAGUUAGAACGGUCCAGCAUGUUGGGAUCGGCGGCACACAGCAGCGCCGAUUCCUUCCCUAGUUGUGUCUUGAAUACAGCCAGUAUAUCUCCCCUCAACUUGAGUUCUGUUUUGGCCAAAAACGAGCGAAUAGAUUACAUCAAGGAACAAGCCUUCAAAUCUUUCAGACUGAAGACAGAGAAAUGGAAUCGCUUCCUUUUAACAGAAGAGAACCAAAAGAUCUUGCUGGAUUUUUUGGAUAAAGGUCAAUCUCCGCAACUUGUUUUUUCACUGGCCCAGGAGGGAAUCUCUACAUGGGCAGUGGGAAGGUUCUGUUAGUCAUUCUUUCCAACCAAAACAGUUAUAGAGACUGGCCUCGAGCUGUACUAGAGGAUGUAAGGAAGCAUGUGGAGAUGUUAAGAAAUACAGCAUAUAUUCUGCAAGGACAUAUAUCAAGAAGAACUUACCUCCCCCUACCUGAGUUGAUGGAUCACAUUCAUGAUGAAGAGGCAAUGUAAGUAUGGAGCUUGAAUUAUCUCUAUAAGAUGUCCCAUGCACACUUGUGGAUGCUGCAGGGUGACCAGUCCCACUUCCCACAUAGA